rnacentral:sRNA from 1 species
GCCAGGUGUGGUGGCGUGCACCUGUAAUCCCAGCUAUUCGGGAGGCUGAGGCAGAAGAAUUGCUUGAACCUGGGAACUGGAGGGUGCAGUGAGCUGAGAUCAUGCCACUGUACUCCAGCCUGGGCAACAGAGUGAGACUCUGUCUCAA